rnacentral:rRNA from 1 species
AAAUUGAAGAGUUUGAUCAUGGCUCAGAUUGAACGCUGGCGGCAGGCCUAACACAUGCAAGUCGAACGGUAACAGGAAGCAGCUUGCUGCUUUGCUGACGAGUGGCGGACGGGUGAGUAAUGUCUGGGAAACUGCCUGAUGGAGGGGGAUAACUACUGGAAACGGUGGCUAAUACCGCAUAACGUCGCAAGACCAAAGAGGGGGACCUUCGGGCCUCUUGCCAUCAGAUGUGCCCAGAUGGGAUUAGCUUGUUGGUGAGGUAACGGCUCACCAAGGCGACGAUCCCUAGCUGGUCUGAGAGGAUGACUAGCCACACUGGAACUGAGACACGGUCCAGACUCCUACGGGAGGCAGCAGUGGGGAAUAUUGCACAAUGGGCGCAAGCCUGAUGCAGCCAUGCCGCGUGUAUGAAGAAGGCCUUCGGGUUGUAAAGUACUUUCAGCGGGGAGGAAGGUGUUG